rnacentral:rRNA from 1 species
CCCUUAGAUGUUCUGGGCCGCACGCGUGCUACACUGAGUGGAUCAGCGGGUCAGGUUGCGCGAAAGUGUUUCCUAAUCUUGAAAUCCGCUCGUGAUGGGGAUUGACGGUUGCAAUUUUCCGUCAUGAACGAGGAAUACCUUGUAAGCGCGGGUCAUCAUCCCGCGCUGAAUACGUCCCUGCCCUUUGUACACACCGCCCGUCGCUCCUACCGAUUGAGUGGUCCGGUGAGGCUUUGGGAUCUGAGCGGAAAGAGCGUUUCGCUGUUUCUGCUCGGAAAACUCAGUCGAACCUUAUCAUUUAGAGGAAGUAGAAGUCGUAACA